UUUGGGGAUAUAGCUCAGCUGGGAGAGCGCCUGCCUUGCACGCAGGAGGUCAGCGGUUCGAUCCCGCUUAUCUCCACCAAUCAUCAUAUUUAAGUGAACAAGCAAAAUAGAAACUGAAUGCGAAAUAAAAGCAAGAAGUGACCGCUUGUUAAUUUAAGUA
rnacentral:tRNA from 1 species